GUACAAAGAGCCGGCUCUUGGAAGUGAACAAUGAGAGCCGGCUCUGUCAUUUUCUCUCUCUCUCUCUCUCUCUCUCUCUCUCUCUCUCUCUCUUUCCACAUGCAUGAAGCGAGGUUUGGCAGUGGCUCAGCUGCCGUGCUCAGAGAGGUAGACCAGAAGAGAAAGGGGAGGGGCGAGGGGCUUGGUAGGGACUGCCCAGAGUGCACACUAAGCACAUCCUCCGUCGCGUCUGCGCAGCCACAGACAGACAAAGGAAUUGACUUUCCAAGUUCCAACUUGUCCAGAGGAUCAUAAAC